rnacentral:rRNA from 1 species
AUACGUAGGGAGCAAGCGUUGUCCGGAAUUACUGGGCGUAAAGGGUGCGUAGGCGGCAGCUUAAGUCAGAUGUGAAAUGCCGGGGCUCAACUCCGGAGCUGCAUCUGAUACUGGGCCGCUAGAGUGCAGGAGAGGAAAGUGGAAUUCCUAGUGUAGCGGUGGAAUGCGUAGAUAUUAGGAGGAACACCAGUGGCGAAGGCGGCUUUCUGGACGGUAACUGACGCUGAGGCACGAAAGUAUGGGGAGCAAACAGGAUUAGAUACCCUGGUAGUCCACGCCGUAAACGAUGGGUACUAGGUGUAGGAGGUAUCGACCCCUUCUGUGCCGUCGUUAACACAAUAAGUACCCCGCCUGGGGAGUACGGUCGCAAGACUAAAACUCAAAUGAAUUGACGGGG